rnacentral:rRNA from 1 species
UUUGAUCCUGGCUCUGGAUGAAUGCUAGUGGUAUGCCUAAUACAUGCGAGUCGAGCGAAUUUUUUUUGCGGCGUACGGGUGAGUAAUACGUAGGAAUUUGCCUUUUAGUAUUGGAACAAGUAGCUUUAUGUAAUAAAAGAAGACUUACGGGUCCUAUAAAUUCCGAUAAUAACAUCUGGUGAUGUUAAAAAAGUUUUACUUGCUAAAAGAUAAGCCUUCGGAGGAUUAGGUAGUUGGUAAAAUAAAAGUUUACCAAGCCUGUGAUCCUUAGCUGACUUGAGAGAGUGAUCAGCCACAUUGGAACUGAGACAAGGUCCAAGCUUUUUUAUAAGCCAGCAGUAUGGAAUAUUAGACAAUGAACGAAAGUUUGAUCUAGCAAUACCACCUGAAUGAUGACAGCUAAUUUGGUUGUAAAGUUCUUUCGUCAAAGAAGAUUAUGACGGUAUUUGAAGAAGAAGUUCCAACCAAUUUCGUGCCAGCAGUUGCGGUAAUACGGAAGGAGCAAGCAUUAUCCAUAAUAAUUGGGUGUAAAGCGUUCGUAGGCGGUAUUACCAGUCUUUUGUUAAAUCCCGGAGCUUAACUUCGGUAGGGCAUUAGAUACUGUUUUACUUUGAGUUUAAAAGAGAAAAGUAGAAUUUUACAUGGAGAGGUGGAAUUCUGAGAUAUGUAAAGGAAUAUCAUAGGCGAAAGCGACUUUUUAGUUUAGACUGACGCUGAGGAACGAAAGCAUAGGUAGCGAGCAGGAUUAGAUACCCUAGUAGUCUAUGCCGUAAACGCUGAGUGCUCAGAUUUCGAUAGUUUAUUGGAAUCUUCUAGUUAACACGUUAAGCACUCCACCUGAAGAGUAUAUCCGCAAGGACGGAAUUCAAAGGAAUNNGNNGGGNUAANNACAAGCNGUGGAGUAUGUGGUUUAAUGCGAUAAUACACGCAGAAUCUUACCAGACCUUGAUAUCAUAAUGAAGAUUUAUUUUAAGAAUAAAUUAAUGAAGUUUUUCAUUUUCAUUUUAGACAGGUAUUGCAUGGUUGUCGUCAGUUCGUGUCGUAAGAUGUUUGGUUAAGUCCUUUAACGAACGCAACCCUUAUUUUUAGUUAUUUUAUUUACAUAAAAAAUCUAAAAAAAUUGCUGGCAAUAAGCCAGAUGAAAGUAAGGAUAACGUCAAAUCCUCAUGGUCCUUAUGGUCUGGGCUACACACAUGCUACAAUGGUAAUCACAAUUAGUAGCAAAUUUGAAAAAAAGAGCCAAUCUAAAAAAAUUAUCGUAGUUCGGAUUGUAGGCUGAAACUCGCCUACAU